UUCCUUUAAUUAUUAGUGAUUUAUUUAGGAAUUGAUUCAUCAUCCUCCUCUAAUAUCUUUACACUACUAUUGUAAAAAUGAUUGGAACUGUGAAAUGUUUUCGUUUCUGUUGUGGACGAGUGUGGCAGUGUAGCCAGUCCCUUGUUUUGUUUAUCUUUCACUUUGAGUAUGGGAGCGCUGCCCUGAAUCUUUCGUCUGUUUUUUGGUAACACUAACAACACAUGUAAGAAUCACGAAUGCUCUCGAGUGUUAGGACGUCAAUCAGUCCAGCCUUCAAUUUGGCUAUUUUACCAAAUUAAUAAUGCAAAUGAUUAUCUAUCCCUUGCAAGGGAUCUAGUCCAGAGAUCUAGUCCAGGAGUUCUGAAGACUAGGUAAAUUAAUCAAGUCCAGGAGACUAGGCCUGGGAGAAAUUUGGCAUGAUGUAAUGAGUAAUUAAGAAACAAGCUGAAUACCAGGAAUUUUCUUCAAUACCCCUAAAAUGGAAAUCAUCACUUCAAUUGCCUCCCAGUGGGAAGACCUCACCUGGCCUCAUCAGAAGUAAGACCCAUACACACAAGGAAUAUCAUGUAAUAGCAGGUAGGACAGGCCUACCCUAUUUUCCAGGCAGCGUAAACGUCAGUCUUCAUACCCACCGUGUCAACUAUGACAGUACCAUUCUCCGACCUGUGUCUCCAGGCAAGAAGACUGACAUCAGUGCAUAUGUACAAUAGUAUUAUUAUUACAGUAUAUUAAUGUCGUGGCGAGGGAAAAUCCUCCCGUGACAUUUGGUGGCAGCUGUGUUGGAUCUGUAGCCCAGUGCUAUUGAUCCAGACCCACUGUGCCUAUAUAUAUUAUGUAGGUCACUUAUAAUAUUUUGUUGUAUUGUAUGCAUUUCAUUAUACAAUAAUGUUGAUUUUUGUCUGAUUAAGGUCAUGACUUAUUUACAUGCAUAUUCAUUGUUUCUAUAGUGACGGAUUGUUUGGUAUUGUCUCUUAAUGUAGUUUACAUUUUAUUAUUUGAUUAUAUAUAAGUGUUUGAAAUAUUGUAACAAUGGUGACUGGUACUGAUGAAUCAUAUAUUGAUCUAAUUCAAUUAGAACAAGAAACACAACAAACAUUACAGACAGUUAAGAGCUUCACUCAGUCCUACCAGGACGUUUGGUCUCAAGUGGGAGAUUUAUCAAAUCAAAUCAAGAACUUGGACCUGAAGUUGGUUGACAUGCAGGGGACAAUACAACACUUAACCCCCAUCCAUAAUAACACUCAACCAUUCAUAAUGUCUACACAUACGUCUCACAUUCCAGGUAAUGAAUCAAGGAAUGAUGUAAAACAUUUUGUACAAGAAUUCACAUAGUGCCCUGGUUGGGAAUGCAAUUGUGUCUUAUGGGUCUUAUCUUAUAGGAAAUUGUCAGAGUUUUGCUCUUGUAGUACUGGUUUGGUACAUCUUAGAGGAUAGAGUACACCACUUUCCAAACCCCUUUGAGAUUCAAGUUUAAGAGUCGUUUCUAGCCAUUAGCGCUGGUGAGUUUGAUAAUCAUUAGGACGCCUCAAUAGGAGUAAAUUCCGUCUUCACAUGUGGAGAACUCUUUUGUUGCAGAGUGAUGUGACAUCCUGUGUAAGUGGAGUCAAUCUAAUUCCAGUAUUAGGCUAGACAAAGCUAUUAGGAAAGCUGUAUUGAACGCACACCUAUAGGGUAGUGUCCCCAUUUAGUACUCAAGUAUAUCCUUGUGUUAUGUUGUUGCAAGAGCCCCUUUAGUCUCUAGUUGAGAUUGUUGCUUGUUUCUACUGUACAAGACCUGUUUUCCACAGUCGCAGACCCAGCUAAGGAGCUGUUUGGUUCCGUUAGAAAAAUUGUCCUUGAUAUGAGAGUGGACAUGAAUCAAUUCUUCCCCGAGGGAAAAGCUUUGUAAUAGGAAAAAUAUUCCUUUAAUUAUUAGUGAUUUAUUUAGGAAUUGAUUCAUCAUCCUCCUCUAAUAUCUUUACACUACUAUUGUAAAAAUGAUUGGAACUGUGAAAUGUUUUCGUUUCUGUUGUGGACGAGUGUGGCAGUGUAGCCAGUCCCUUGUUUUGUUUAUCUUUCACUUUGAGUAUGGGAGCGCUGCCCUGAAUCUUUCGUCUGUUUUUUGGUAACACUAACAACACAUGUAAGAAUCACGAAUGCUCUCGAGUGUUAGGACGUCAAUCAGUCCAGCCUUCAAUUUGGCUAUUUUACCAAAUUAAUAAUGCAAAUGAUUAUGUAUCCCUUGCAAGGUAAGCUUUUAAAGUUGUAAUAUUACCAUUAGUUCAUUAGUUAGAACAGAUCAUUAUCAUGAAAGAACAGUAGCAGACGAGAAUUCAAGUGCAUAGUUGCCUGCCCAGUCAAACAUGUUGCAAUGCCUUAACGAGGAAAAUUUUCAUUGUCGUGAAAGAUGCUUCACGUUCAUUAGUUGUCAUGAAAUUUUGCUGUGUUAGUUUGAGUUGUAACUUAGCGUUUGACAGGGUUGAAAACAUUAAAAAAGUAGUUAUAAGAGUUUUAUUUGUAUACAAUUUUUGCAAAUACGAGUGCCAAAGGGUACCACAACAUGGCCGUCCUACAGGGCAUCUUGGGGUUACCCCUACCUCCCCUCAUGGAAAUUUCCACUGCCGAUCAUGAUCUUAGACUAGGCUAUACAGUAAUUUAAGAAGGCCUACCCUAGACAUCCUGUUUGAAUGAGGAAUUAUGACUAUUUUUGAUAAAUAUAGUUAGGCUAUAUGUAUAUAAAUUCCUGGAAAACCCAAUUACAUGGGACUUAGCCUGUACCCUCAUUAAACUAACCUAACUUUGUGGCCUAUUGUAACCUAGUCAAAAAUCAGCCAUGUAAACUUUGCAUAGGGUAUCCUUAACGAUUUCUGAAGAAGCCUAGGCUAGACUAUAUCCUGUUGAAAGGCACCUUAGCCUAAUUUUACCUCAUUUUAGUUUUAAGUUUAUCUCAGAAAUCUUUCAGGUAUAAAGAGUUAUUUUUUUGUUGUAGUUUUAAACUACUCACUUGUGUUGAUUUCUGGAAAUCAAAAAUUAAAUAAAAUGAAUAUUUCCAGGGAUCUAGUCCAGAGAUCUAGUCCAGGAGUUCUGAAGACUUGGUAAAUUAAUCAAGUCCAGGAGACUAGGCCUGGGAGAAAUUUGGCAUGAUGUAAUGAGUAAUAAAGAAACAAGCUGAA